rnacentral:tRNA from 1 species
GGGAAUGUGGCUUAGUGGUAGAGUGCUUGCUUAUCAUGCAUGAAUCCCGGGUUCAAUUCCUCAGUACCA